GGCUCCGUAGCUCAGGGGUUAGAGCACUGGUCUCGUAAACCAGGGGUCGUGAGUUCGAAUCUCACCGGGGCCU